CUAUCACGUCACAAGGUCACAUAAAUAAUUUCAGUCAUUUUAGCUUAUAGUUGAGGCCUUGGCUCGUAACAGCACCCUGAAUGUAACGUUAAGGAUGCCUACGGACAAAACUAGCUUUAGUCAACUGGAUAACUUGGACAUCCGUUAUAGGAUGUAUUCGCAGUGUCCGUAGCGGCGGCUACUGCACUGUUCAGGUAGUCCAGUCUCACCACAGACGGACACCUGGUUAAAUAGAGGGGUAGCUUAGCUUUUAGGUCAGCUGGCUAACUAACUAACUAGCUAGCCACACACGCGCGCACGCGCCCCUGAGACCGAGUGUGUUGCACACGAGUGACAUUCAGCUGAUUCGGUUCACCACAACACGAAUCACUGAGCGGACAGCAGCGGACAUGAGGAUCUGACUUAAGCCAGCAUUAGCCCGACGUACGCACUGCACUGCACUGCCCUGCCCUGCCCUGCCUCCCCGCUGAAACUGGACUUCGGCAUUGAGUCAGAAACUGAGCGCGAGGACGACCGACCAACUGCCAUUCACCAACCGACUUCAGCCUGGGGGAUUUUGACUCGACCCAGGUUUAUUUACCGCUCUGCUGUCGACUGCAGCCACGGAUGCUGUAACAGCUUAUUUACUGAAGGCCGAUCAGAAGGUUCGUGCUGCAGCAUGGAUUGGAUGAUGGACCGACAAGGCUCACUCAGCGCCUGCUGGUUGGAGAUGGGGAAUGGAGGCCUGUUCUCAGGAGCGCAGGGCCAGAUUAGCUUCAUUGCGGUCCGGACUGCACACUUUCUCCUGGGCACACUGAUCUCAUUUUCUAUCCAGCCAGGGCCUCGGGAAAGCCCCCCUAACUCCCC